rnacentral:rRNA from 1 species
GAUAAACGCUGGCGGCGUGCUUAACACAUGCAAGUCGAACGAAGUUUUUCUUUCGGGAGGAACUUAGUGGCGGACGGGUGAGUAACGCGUGGGUAACCUGCCCUGUACAGGGGGACAACAGCUGGAAACGGCUGCUAAUACCGCAUAAGCCCUUAGCACUGCAUGGUGCAUAGGGAAAAGGAGCAAUCCGGUACAGGAUGGACCCGCGUCUGAUUAGCCAGUUGGCAGGGUAACGGCCUACCAAAGCGACGAUCAGUAGCCGAUCUGAGAGGAUGUACGGCCACAUUGGGACUGAGACACGGCCCAGACUCCUACGGGAGGCAGCAGUGGGGAAUAUUGCACAAUGGAGGAAACUCUGAUGCAGCGACGCCGCGUGAGUGAAGGAGUAUUUCGGUAUGUAAAGCUCUAUCAGCAGGAAAGAAAAUGACGGUACCUGACUAAGAAGCACCGGCUAAAUACGUG